rnacentral:rRNA from 1 species
UAGUAAGCGGAGGAAAAGAAACUAACGAGGAUUCCCCUAGUAGCUGCGAGCGAACAGGGAAGAGCCCAGCACCGAAUCCCGCGGGUCUAGCCCGUAGGGAAAUGUGGUGUUAGGGAGGAUCCAUCUAUCCCGGAGGUCGGCUGGCGAGUCCAAGUCCACCUUGAACGGGGCCACGGUCCGUAGAGGGUGCCAGGCCCGUAGUGACCGCUGCCGUUUCCGGGAGGGUCUCUCCUCAGAGUCGGGUUGCUUGAGAGUGCAGCCCUAAGUGGGUGGUAAACUCCAUCUAAGGCUAAAUACGACCACGAGACCGAUAGCGAACAAGUACCGUGAGGGAAAGUUGAAAAGAACUUUGAAGAGAGAGUUCAAGAGUACGUGAAACCGUUCAGGGGUAAACGGGAGAAACCCCAAAAGGUCGAACGGGAGGAUUCACGUCCGCCCGACCGUCCGGUCGCUGUUCGCCCGAUGUCGUCGGCUGCCUGCUGCGGUUCGCGCCGUUUUGCAGUGUCAGAUCCGGCGUUCACGGUGCAGUGCGGCGGCUAACGUGGCGGCGGAGGACUGCACUUCCUCCCUAGUAGGAACGUCGCGACCCGCCGAGGGCUGGUCCAAGGCCUGGGGGAUCAAACGCUCGCGUCCGUGAGGUGGGCAACCAUCUCCGGCACGAAUCCUCAGUGCCCGGUCAGCCGUUAGACGGUACAACGGCGGAGCAGGCUCACUUCACUCAAGUGUCUGGCCCGGUGUCGGCGUGGUCGUCCGUCGGUGGCACGUGUCGAAAGCACGUCCCCGGCGCCGUGCCGCGUCCGGCUGCAAGACCGGUGACCUCGGACAGGGCCUUGUCUCCCGUCGGCGACGCCGCAGAUUGGGGCACUCUCCCGACCCGUCUUGAAACACGGACCAAGGAGUCUAACAUGUGCGCGAGUCAUUGGGUUCGGCAGCGAAACCCAGAGGCACAGUGAAAGUGAAGGCUGCUCUAGGGUAGCCGAGGGAGGAUGGAGCAGGCAUUGUCCGGCUUCCGCACUCCCGGGGCGUCUCACCCUCAUUGCGAGGAGAGACGCACCUAGAGCGUACACGUUGGGACCCGAAAGAUGGUGAACUAUGCCUGGCCAGGACGAAGUCAGGGGAAACCCUGAUGGAGGUCCGUAGCGAUUCUGACGUGCAAAUCGAUCGUCAGAGCUGGGUAUAGGGGCGAAAGACUAAUCGAACCAUCUAGUAGCUGGUUCCCUCCGAAGUUUCCCUCAGGAUAGCUGGUACUCGGAGGCAAGAGUCUCAUAUGGUAAAGCGAAUGAUUAGAGGCCUUGGGGCCGAAACGACCUCAACCUAUUCUCAAACUUUAAAUGGGUGAGAUCUCCGGCUUGCUCAAUGUGAAGCCGGAGGUGGAUCAGAGUGCCAAGUGGGCCAUUUUUGGUAAGCAGAACUGGCGCUGUGGGAUGAACCAAACGCAGAGUUAAGGCGCCCAAAUCGACGCUCAUGGGAAACCAUGAAAGGUGUUGGUUGCUUAAGACAGCAGGACGGUGGCCAUGGAAGUCGGAAUCCGCUAAGGAGUGUGUAACAACUCACCUGCCGAAGCAACUAGCCCUGAAAAUGGAUGGCGCUGAAGCGUCGUGCCUAUACUCUGCCGUCGGUGGCAGGAGGGCGCUCUCGCAAGAGAGACCCGACGAAGCUCCGACGAGUAGGAGGGUCGCGGCGGUGUGCGCAGAAGGRWCUGGGCGUGAGCCUGCCUGGAGCCACCGCCGGUGCAGAUCUUGGUGGUAGUAGCAAAUACUCCAGCGAGGACCUGGAGGACUGACGCGGAGAAGGGUUUCGUGUGAACAGCCGUUGCACACGAGUCAGUCGAUCCUAAGCCCUAGGAGAAAUCCUAUGUAGAUGGUUCGGUGUUCUCAAAAGCAUGACCGACCGUCGGGCGAAAGGGAAUCCGGUUCCUAUUCCGGAACCCGGCAGCGGAACCGUUCCAAUUCGGGCCCUCGCAAGAGGACUCGUCGGGGUAACCCAACAGGACCCGGAGACGCCGUCGGGAGAUCGGGGAAGAGUUUUCUUUUCUGCAUGAGCGUUCGAGUUCCCUGGAAUCCUCUAGCAGGGAGAUAGGGUUUGGAACGCGAAGAGCACCGCAGUUGCGGCGGUGUCCCGAUCUUCCCCUCGGACCUUGAAAAUCCGGGAGAGGGCCACGUGGAGCUUUCGCGCCGGCUCGUACCCAUAUCCGCAGCAGGUCUCCAAGGUUAAGAGCCUCUAGUCGAUAGACUA